GACGAACGCUGGCGGCGUGCCUAAUACAUGCAAGUAGAACGCACAGUUUAUACCGUAGCUUGCUACACCAUAGACUGUGAGUUGCGAACGGGUGAGUAACGCGUAGGUAACCUGCCUGGUAGCGGGGGAUAACUAUUGGAAACGAUAGCUAAUACCGCAUAAUAUUAAUUAUUGCAUGAUAAUUAAUUGAAAGGUGCAAUUGCACCACUACCAGAUGGACCUGCGUUGUAUUAGCUAGUAGGUGAGGUAACGGCUCACCUAGGCGACGAUACAUAGCCGACCUGAGGGGGUGAUGGGCCAAACUGGGACUGAGAAACGGCCAAGCAUCCACAGGGGGGCAACAGGAGGGAAUCUUGGGAAAGGGAAGAAAGUCUGACCGAGAAACGCCGGGGGAGUGAAGAAGGUUUUGGGAUCGAAAAGCUUUGUUGAAAGAGAAGAAGGGGUGGGGGAGGGGAAAGUCCAAACUGGGACGGUAUUUUACCAGAAAGGGACGGAUAACUACGU
rnacentral:rRNA from 1 species